rnacentral:rRNA from 1 species
CCUACGGGUGGCAGCAGGGAGGAAGAGGGGGAAAGGGAAGGAAGUCUGAACAAGAAAGGAAGAGGGCAGGAAGACGGCUCUAUGAGUUGUAAACUGCUUUUGUACAAGGGUAAACCUGAAUACGUGUAUUCAGCUGAAAGUACUGUACGAAUAAGGAUCGGCUAACUCCGUGCCAGCAGCCGCGGUAAUACGGAGGAUCCAAGCGUUAACCGGAUUUAUUGGGUUUAAAGGGUGCGAAGGCGGAUUGAUAAGUUAGAGGUGAAAUGUCCGAGCAUAACUCGGGAACUGCCUCUAAUACUGUUGAUCGAGAGAGUAGAUGCGGUAGGCGGAAUGUAUGGUGUAGCGGUGAAAUGCUUAGAGAUCAUACAGAACACCGAUUGCGAAGGCAGCUUACCAAUCUAUAUCUGACGUUGAGGCACGAAAGCGUGGGGAGCAAACAGGAUUAGAUACCCUAGUAGUC